rnacentral:tRNA from 3 species
UCCUCGGUAGCUCAGUCGGUAGAGCAGGUGACUGUUAAUCACCUGGUCGGGGGUUCAAGUCCCUCCCGAGGAGCCA